GCAGACACAUUCCAGCCAAUCAGCAGCAGACCCUCCCUCCCAGACCCUCCCACCUCCUGGACAGCAUCCAUUUUGAAGCUGCAUUCUUAGUGAGCUGUCCAGGAGGUGGGAGGGUCUGGGAGGGAGGGUCUGCUGCUGAUUAGCUAGAAUGUGUCU